ensembl:lncRNA
AUCAGGGAUCAGAACCACAGAGAGGCUUCUACGUAAUGAAAUUCCUCAUUCAUCUAAACUCAUACACAACCUGACCCAAUCUACUUUUAAACACGCUGCCUCGAACAGCUGUGACUAACACACUUCCUGUCACUCAAUCAGACUUGCACACACACAGUGAUUAUUUCCAUGAUCUAUAUGAGCAUUUCUAACAAAUAAAAUAUAAAAUUUUAUAUAGUAAACUUUAAUAUAGUUUGGCAAAUACGAAUUUUCAGCAUCAUUAUUUUUCAUGCUCACAUGAUCCUUCAGAAAACAUUCUAAUUGGUUGCUAAAUAAACAUUUCUUAUUGAAAAGCAUUGUGCUGCUUAAUAUUUUGUGAAAACCUGACUUAAAACACAUGAAGCCUCUCUCAGAAGAAGGCCUGCAAAAACCUAGCUGAAGGAAAGAAAUUCCGAGAGCCAAGCCAACGGCACUAUGUCACAACAAGAAGAAAGCACAUAUACACACUGGCCCAGAAAAAAAAGCAGGUCUGAGAGAGUGACUACAGGCUCUCUGAGCCACGAGAUGCUUGAAUACAGACAGAAUAAACAUAUCAAUGUACUAAUAAAAUACAGAUCACAUAAAUGUGCAACAAUGUGAACUUGGACACACCACACGGAAGUCAUCCUCAUAUUUAAAUGCACCAUCUCUAUAUCUUGGAUGGCCUGAGGCAAAACACAACCCAGAAGAAGUACGAGAAGAAGCUUUUUCCAACUGUAGUCGUUGCUUGUUUACUUCAUUCAAGCGGUGCCGUGGAGAAAAAGGGAGACGCCAUUAUAUGCUUCAAAUGCACAAUAGACAAAUCUGGGUUUGUUUCCCUUCAGCUACGAUGACGUUGAUGCUUGACGACACUGAAUGGCAUCUCUUAAAAUAUCUGCAAUCAAGCGUGCGCAACUAAGGGAAUUCAGCACAGCAAAGUGCAUCCACAUCAGAGUAGUUCCUGCACUGGAU